rnacentral:rRNA from 1 species
GCCAUGCGAGUCGAGAGGUGCAAGACCUCGGCGCACUGCUCAGUAACACGUGGAUAACCUACCCUCAGGAGGGGGAUAACCCCGGGAAACUGGGGAUAAUACCCCAUAGAUCAGGGAUGCUGGAAUGCCCCCUGAUUCAAAGGUCCGCCGCCUGAGGAUGGGUCUGCGGCCGAUUAGGUUGUUGUUGGGGUAACGGCCCAACAAGCCAUUGAUCGGUACGGGUUGUGAGAGCAAGAGCCCGGAGAUGGAUUCUGAGACACGAAUCCAGGCCCUACGGGGCGCAGCAGGCGCGAAAACUUUACAAUGCGAGAAAUCGUGAUAAGGGAACCCCGAGUGCCCGUAAAUUCGGGCUGUCCAUCAGUGUAAAUAACUGGUGAAGAAAGGGCCGGGCAAGACCGGUGCCAGCCGCCGCGGUAAUACCGGCGGCUCGAGUGGUGGCCACUAUUACUGGGCUUAAAGCGUCCGUAGCUGGAUUGUUAAGUCUCUUGGGAAAUCCACCGGCUCAACCGAUGGGCGUUCAGGAGAAACUGGCAAUCUAGGGACCGGGAGAGGUGAGAGGUACUCCAGGGGUAGGAGUGAAAUCCUGUAAUCCUUGGGGGACCACCUGUGGCGAAGGCGUCUCACUAGAACGGCUCCGACAGUGAGGGACGAAAGCUGGGGGAGCAAACCGGAUUAGAUACCCGGGUAGUCCCAGCUGUAAACGAUGCGCGUUAGGUGUAUCGGUGACCACGAGUCAUCGAGGUGCCGAAGGGAAACCGUGAAACGUGCCGCCUNGGAAGUACGGUCGUAAGGCUGAAACUUAA